CCUACGGGUGGCAGCAGUGAGGAAUAUUGGUCAAUGGGCGAGAGCCUGAACCAGCCAAGUCGCGUGAAGGAUGACGGCCCUACGGGUUGUAAACUUCUUUUGUCAGGGAGUAAUUGGGUCCACGCGUGGGCUUAGCGAGAGUACCUGAAGAAAAAGCAUGGGCUAACUCCGUGCAAGCAGCCGCGGUAAUACGGAGGAUGGGAGCGUUAUCCGGUUUUAUUGGGUUAAAGGGGUGCGAAGGCGGAAUAUCAAGUCAGCGGUAAAGAUUCGGGGCGCAACCCCGUCGUGCCGUUGAAACUGGUGGUCUUGAGUGGGCGAGAGGUAGGCGGAAUGCGUGGUGUAGCGGUGAAAUGCAUAGAUAUCACGCAGAACUCCGAUUGCGAAGGCAGCAUACCGGCGCCCAACUGACGCUGAAGCACGAAAGCGUGGGUAUCGAACAGGAUUAGAUACCCGAGUAGUC
rnacentral:rRNA from 1 species